GAGCCCUCAGCAGGAAUGAUCAACGAACUGGUCUCUUCGCAAACCCUCACCGAGCCCUAUUCUGUUAUGGGAAGAGAGACGUCACCUUCUGCCACCCCAUGAAGCUCAGCAAGGGAUUCCUGUCCCUGGAAUCAAGGGAUUCCUGCCACGCGCACAGGCUGGGAUCGGAGCUUGGAGCUCAGAUGUCAGACACGGGGAGGGAGGAAAGCCGCUUGUGAAGACCCUGCCGCGAAAGGGAGAGGGCUCCGCGUGGUUUACCGGUUGCUUUUUCCCUGGGCACCGCAGACAGCAGGCGUCCACGCUAACCCCCUCCGCCCGGAGGACAUGCAGGCACAGACUCGGGACAAGACACCCACAAAGCAGCAGCAGCAGCUGUUACUUCCAAGCUGGUAAAAAGUCUCAAUCACCCAGACUUCCGCUUCCAGAUCACCUCGAGCACACAGAGGAAAAACGGGAGGAGGGGGUCAAGACCGGCGAGAGAGGUAGGGUGAGGAGCAGGGGAGAGCGCGUAAAACCUUCGCAGCGGAAGAGGAUACGCAAGAACCCCUUCCUAUCCGCUUACAGCAAGAGGAGGAGGAACGAGACAGCUAACUUAUUGCUGGCAAACUGAAUAUUCCCCGGCGGGCUCUUCCCUCUCUCCACAGGAGGCUCCCGUUCAUCUGCACGGCUACAUCUGCCUUCCGCACCUCGGCCCUCCGGGCCGCGCGCUUCGCCCCCGCGCUGCCGGGGCCGCGCCAGGUCUGGAGGGACGGGACCCCCCGGACCUCCGCCAAGCCUCUCCCGCCUCCGUCCUCCACGCACACACACAGGCACAACGCCUCUCCGUAUCCGCGCCCGCGGGAAGGAGGGGAGCUCGAGCCCCACGAGGAGACAGCCUGCCCUCUUUGAAAUCCCUGGGCCGGAGGGAAGCGGCGGCGCAGCUGAGCUCGCAGCUCCCCGCCGGGGACCGCGGCAGCAGUUCCGGGCGCUUAGGACUGGCAGCAUCGGUUUGUGCAAGGAAAGCUGCCUCCUUUGAGGAGGAGAGACAGUGCAGUUGUGUCUGCCGUGGCUUACGAAGUCCGUGCUGACUUCUUUUUAAAAUCAGAAUCUUCCCUGUGUUUAAAUAUCUGCCAGCGCUAAACUUCUAUACUUAAAAAAAUAUAUAUCCCAUAUGUGGAUUUCACUAGUGAAAUGCACCCCCCACCCACCCCCCUGCCCUUCUCUUGCACGCACGCACGCACCACACACAAACACACACACAGAGCAGCUCUAUCAAAUACUGGUUUGGUACUUAAGAUGUUUUCUCCAAUACUGAGAGGGAAAAAUACAUAAGCACAAUCAACCCCAGCUAAGUAGCUCAGCAACACUUCCCAAAAGCGAAGGUCCUUGGAGCUGGAAGACUAGGUGGAUAAAAAUUACCCACCAGGAAACAAAAAUUAAAAAAAAUUAAAAAAUUAUAUAAUAUAUAUUUAUAUAUCUUAACAGACUGCUUAUAGCUCAGUUGUGCCAACCACAAAAACACGCACACUGCCUCUGCUUUUUCCUCUCAGAUUGUGAAGCCAAUAAUAAAAUGGUGCCCCCUCUUCCCCACCCCAAAAACUGCAUGCUGCAUGGUGCCUUUCAGACCAGGAACAGGGCUGUGGGUGAGCGAGUGUCUUCCUCCAGUAAGAACAAAGACAUUUUUAUUUACAAAAAAAGGAGAGAAAAGUUUCCACACAAAAGCACUACAAUGAUAACUCCCUUUGGUAAAAAGUGUAAUAAAUGCCUUCGUAGGUCUGUCUGUAGGUACUAAUUCUCAAGCCACCUGGUACUAUGGUACACAAGAAGCUAGUACAGUUAUGCUAGCACAUCAAGCAUACUUCCUUUAAUAAAAAACAAAAAAAAUUUGACAA